AAAAGAGAGGGUACCUCAAUGUGGUGUUGACACAUGUCAUUUUUAAUUUUACUUUUACUUUUUAUUGCUUAAUAGCAUAUCAUUUACGGUUUUUUCAUAAAAUGCCCCUGAGGUUUGCAAGAAUGCACCAAAUACCCUCGCGUCUUUCGAAUCACAUAAUACACCCCUAUAUAAACUUACUUUGCACCAAAUACCCUUAGACUUAACGGCCGUUAGUGCUCCGUUAGUAUUAUUUUACCUUUAUACCCCUUACGCAUCCAAUAUUCUACAGUUAACUUUAAAAAAAAAAAAAAAAAAAAAAACUCUUUUCUCUUCUCUCCUCUCCUCUCCUGUUCCCAUACCCAUUGCAUCUUCAUCUCAAAUUCCCAUUUUCGUACUUCAUCAUCUUCAUCUCAAAUUCCCAUUUUCGUACUUCAUCAUCUUCUUCACUCCAUCUUUCUCACUCCUGCCAUUUUCGCUCUGCUUCAAAAAUCAAAAAUAUGUCUCGCCCAUUACUAAAAGCUAACCUUUCCAAUUUCCUAAUUACCCGAUUAACGCAAAUUCUAGGGUUCAUUGCAAUUUGCGAUUUCAAAAUCAAAUUAUGGGGUCUAUAACUUCUCCCGAUGAAAGCUUACCUUUGGUUGAUCAAAUUGCGUCCAUUAAUCCCCCAAAAUCUCACUCAAGAGAUGUUCAUGUACUCAACUUAGCUUUUUUUGCUCGUGUUUUCGGUAUAUGGGUGCUGUUAAAAAUUUAGAAAGUACGGCCAACAAUAUGGAUUUGUUAUUUCCGGUCACUAGAAUGUGCGUUAAGAAUGCUCUUGGUUCGCAUUGUUAUCUCGCCUCUCAGGUGUGUUAAUCAGGCAAUCUAUCUUCUGACAACCGGAGCUCGUGAGAGUGCUUUCAAGAACAUUAAGACCAUUGUUGAGUGCCUUGCUGAUGAACUCAUCAAUGGUGCCAGGGGUUCAUCCAACACUUAUGCUAUCAAGAAGAAAGAUGAGAUUGAAAGAGUCGCCAAGGCCAAUCAUUGAGUUAGGGGGUUAUGUAGAGCUUAAGUUUUUUUCUCUUGUUUCUUGAAUUUUGGAUUAUAUGGAUUUUCUAUAAGAAUCAAAGUUCUAUUAUAAUUAAGAAUCAAAGUUGUACUAGAUUUUCUAUAAGCAGCAAGAACAUAUAGGCUAUAUUUUAAUCAAUAAAAGUAGUCAUUAGAUUCAAAUUCUA